rnacentral:rRNA from 1 species
AUACGGAGGGUCCGAGCGUUAUCCGGGAUCAUUGGGUUUAAAGGGUCCGUAGGCGGGAAUCUAAGUCAGUGGUGAAAUCUUGCAGCUCAACUGUAAAAUUGCCAUUGAUACUGGAUUUCUUGAAUUAGUGUGAAGUGGUUAGAAUGUGUAGUGUAGCGGUGAAAUGCAUAGAUAUUACACAGAAUACCAAUUGCGAAGGCAGAUCACUAACACUAUAUUGACGCUAAGGGACGAAAGCGUGGGGAGCGAACAGGAUUAGAAACCCCAGUAGUCC